GCCUCUUUAGCUCAGUUGGUAGAGCAUCUGAUUUGUAAUCAGAGGGCCGUGGGUUCAAGUCCCACAGGGGGCU
rnacentral:tRNA from 1 species